GAUCCCCCCAUUUCAAAGAAGCGGAGAACCAGAGACGAGAUUUAACUGCUCCGGCCAGCAGGUUUGGCUGUGCCGGAGGUGACUCCCCUUUUCCCCUUCCUUAUUUUUCUUUGCUUUCCUUUCCCCAGUCCAAAAUCAAGACGAUAUGCAUGCAAUUCUGACGUGGUCGUUUCAGCCGGAGCUCGUGUUGUGGCGGGAGACGAUGCUCUUCGUUUGGAGUGGCGGCGAGUCUACGGCUAGGCUGGGAAACGGUGGGUCGGCUUUUAGGAUUGAAGGGUAUCAGAUCUAAUUUUCCUUUUCAGAUCUAGGGUUUAUCCUCCCCGGCGAUGGCGCGUGAAGCGAGAUUGACGACUCCUCUAGCUCGGAAUCACCUCCUUACGUGACGGUGAGAAUGGUGGAGGAGAGGUGGCAUGAAUCGAAGUUGGUAUGCGCCUUUAGGUGAUGAUGCUGCUGGGUUACGGGCUUGAUUCAUAUCCUAUGGAAUCCUCAGCUUUGAAAUUGUAUUGGAAUCCGUUUUGAUUCUUGCUUGCAGUAUGUUCACAGUUCAACCGUAGUUUUGAGAGGAUCGGAAGGAGAUAGAUGUAUAUCGGAGCGAUUGAUUCAUUGUCGGUCGAUUGGCGCCGUCUUGCUCGUGAUUGUCAUGGAUUUGGAGUGGUUAUUAUCCAGUUACCGGCUGUGUGAAUAAGACGUUUCCAGGAAACUUUUUUAGGCUUCGCUGUGGGGUGAUGGUGCGUAUGAGGCGCGUGGAGAGCACACUCAAGGUCCAAUGGAGAGACUUAGUUGGGAUUGAAGGGUGUUUACAGCGACGGUUAAGGAUUCUAACCUCUCCCGAUUCAGUUUAUAUGUUUGGUGAUGUUCGUGUGCGUCUAGUCUAUCUCGCUGCUCCUCUCAUUUUGUGUUAAUUGUCGAUGAGUUCUAUUUCGGUAAGUUCGUCUUUCAACGCAAGGUGGAGCACUCCUCUUCUGAAGUUCUAUUUUACUCUUCUGCCUCUCAACUUCGUGUCUUUGUUAGUUUUUUAUGGGUUUGUGUUGUAUCCAUCUUUUGGCUCCGGGUGGUACAUGUUACCUCGCCGGCUUAUGGCUCUGGAAGGAAUGUAUUCCUUGCCGGUUCUGGUUUGUAAGAAUUGUUGUUUUUGUGUUUAAUAUAAUCUACAGAUGACAAAAAAAAAAGAUUAAUGUUUUAUUUUCCCAAAAAAGUCUCUUUUUCUCUCGAUACAUUUCUUCUUCUAUGGUGACGCCGAUAAGGAAGUUGGAUUCUCUUCACUUGCGUCCCCGGUGACUUCUACUCCGUUACAGCCUCCUUUCGUUUAGUCAUCCCCACCCUAAUUAGCCGUCGUCUCUGUCAUACAAGAAGAACCCUAAAUCCGAUUUCACUUUAUCAAAUACUCCUUUCAAUCGAAGAAAAUUGAACAUAUUUUAACUCAGGCCUUAUUUUCUGAUGGCAUUUAAAAGAUGGCAUUUAUGCUACUGCAGCUUAAAGGGGAAUGUAAGAAGCAAUUAAAAAUAGCGAUUUCCGUUUUACGAUUUGUUUUAUGGAAAGCUUUAUGUAAAUAGUAGUAGGUAAACCAUAUUCAACAUGGAGAUCAUUCAAGACCUUUUCCUAAGCUUGAGGAUACAAUAGAAAUGUUUGAGAGAAACGAAACUCCGUCAUGGAAUUUUGAUUGUCAUUGGGGAAAAGAAAAUGAGGAUUCAACUAGAGCUGUAGCAGGCUCCGAGAAGUCACAGUUGUUGGUUAACACACACCAUAGAAGAUGAAGCCUCAUCAUUAAGAUGUGCGUGAUGCAAGUGGAGUACUUUUCAAUGGAUAUGGAGCCUGUAGGAACCGAAAUUCGCACUGUCGAUUUCCGUUUAAAUUAGGAAACUAGGAAAACCCUAAUUUCCCAGAGGUCCCGGAGAUCUGUUAAUACCACACGCUAAGCAAUCAGAACACGAGAUAA